GUGCUCACUUUGGCAGCACAUACACUAAAAUUGGAGCAAUGCAGAGAUUAGCAUAGCCCCUGCUCAAGGAUGACACGCAAAAUCAUGAAGAGUCCACAUUUUUU
rfam:Otolemur garnettii contig151462, whole genome shotgun sequence.